rnacentral:rRNA from 1 species
UAAGGAAUAUUGGCCAAUGGACGCAAGUCUGAACCAGCCAUGCCGCGUGGAGGAUUAAGGCCCUCUGGGUUGUAAACUCCUUUUAUCUGGGAAGAAAUGUACUUUUUCUUGAGUACUUGACGGUACCAGAGGAAUAAGCACCGGCUAACUCCGUGCCAGCAGCCGCGGUAAUACGGAGGGUGCAAGCGUUAUCCGGAUUCACUGGGUUUAAAGGGUGCGUAGGUGGGCAGGUAAGUCAGUUGUGAAAUCUCCGGGCUUAACCCGGAAACUGCCGUUGAUACUAUUUGUCUUGAAUAUUGUGGAGGUCAGCGGAAUAUGUCAUGUAGCGGUGAAAUGCUUAGAAAUUACAUAGAACACCAAUUGCGAAGGCAGCUUACUACACAAUCAUUGACGCUGAGGCACGAAAGCGUGGGGAUCAAACA